rnacentral:rRNA from 1 species
UACGUAGGGUGCAAGCGUUAAUCGGAAUUACUGGGCGUAAAGCGUGCGCAGGCGGUGAUGUAAGACAGUUGUGAAAUCCCCGGGCUCAACCUGGGAACUGCAUCUGUGACUGCAUCGCUGGAGUGCGGCAGAGGGGGAUGGAAUUCCGGCGUGUAGCAGUGAAAUGCGUAGAUAUGCGGAGGAACACCGAUGGCGAAGGCAAUCCCCUGGGCCUGCACUGACGCUCAUGCACGAAAGCGUGGGGAGCAAACCAGG